rnacentral:rRNA from 1 species
UUGAACGCUGGCGGCAGGCCUAACACAUGCAAGUCGAGCGGUAGCACAGAGAGCUUGCUCUCGGGUGACGAGCGGCGGACGGGUGAGUAAUGUCUGGGAAACUGCCUGAUGGAGGGGGAUAACUACUGGAAACGGUGGCUAAUACCGCAUAAUGUCGCAAGACCAAAGUGGGGGACCUUCGGGCCUCAUGCCAUCAGAUGUGCCCAGAUGGGAUUAGCUAGUAGGUGGGGUAACGGCUCACCUAGGCGACGAUCCCUAGCUGGUCUGAGAGGAUGACCAGCCACACUGGAACUGAGACACGGUCCAGACUCCUACGGGAGGCAGCAGUGGGGAAUAUUGCACAAUGGGCGCAAGCCUGAUGCAGCCAUGCCGCGUGUGUGAAGAAGGCCUUCGGGUUGUAAAGCACUUUCAGCGGGGAGGAAGGCGUUAAGGUUAAUAACCUUGGCGAUUGACGUUACCCGCAGAAGAAGCACCGGCUAACUCCGUGCCAGCAGCCGCGGUAAUACGGAGGGUGCAAGCGUUAAUCGGAAUUACUGGGCGUAAAGCGCACGCAGGCGGUCUGUCAAGUCGGAUGUGAAAUCCCCGGGCUCAACCUGGGAACUGCAUUCGAAACUGGCAGGCUAGAGUCUUGUAGAGGGGGGUAGAAUUCCAGGUGUAGCGGUGAAAUGCGUAGAGAUCUGGAGGAAUACCGGUGGCGAAGGCGGACCCCUGGACAAAGACCGACCCUCAGGUGCGAAAGCGUGGGGAGCAAACAGGAUUAGAUACCCUGGUAGUCCACGCCGUAAACGAUGUCGAUUUGGAGGUUGUGCCCUUGAGGCGUGGCUUCCGGAGCUAACGCGUUAAAUCGACCGCCUGGGGAGUACGGCCGCAAGGUUAAAACUCAAAUGAAUUGACGGGGGCCCGCACAAGCGGUGGAGCAUGUGGUUUAAUUCGAUGCAACGCGAAGAACCUUACCUGGUCUUGACAUCCACAGAACUUUCCAGAGAUGGAUUGGUGCCUUCGGGAACUGUGAGACAGGUGCUGCAUGGCUGUCGUCAGCUCGUGUUGUGAAAUGUUGGGUUAAGUCCCGCAACGAGCGCAACCCUUAUCCUUUGUUGCCAGCGGUCCGGCCGGGAACUCAAAGGAGACUGCCAGUGAUAAACUGGAGGAAGGUGGGGAUGACGUCAAGUCAUCAUGGCCCUUACGACCAGGGCUACACACGUGCUACAAUGGCAUAUACAAAGAGAAGCGACCUCGCGAGAGCAAGCGGACCUCAUAAAGUAUGUCGUAGUCCGGAUUGGAGUCUGCAACUCGACUCCAUGAAGUCGGAAUCGCUAGUAAUCGUAGAUCAGAAUGCUACGGUGAAUACGUUCCCGGGCCUUGUACACACCGCCCGUCACACCAUGGGAGUGGGUUGCAAAAGAAGUAGGUAGCUUAACCUUCGGGAGGGCGCUUACCACUUUGUGAUUCAUGACUGGGGUG